CAGCGAUGCAUUGAGCUAACCAGUACUAAUGAUCCGUGAGGCUUAACCUUACAACACCGAAGGUGUU
rnacentral:rRNA from 1 species